ensembl:lncRNA SCOC-AS1 SCOC antisense RNA 1
GCGGCGCUGGUGAAGCGGCUCAUCAGGUCUAUCAGGAAACCUGAGAAUUGGAGUGAGAAUCCCAGUGUGGAAAAUCAGGAAAGAGGCUGGUAUGAGCGACAGAGAAGUCAUUCAGGAAAGAGGUUAUUGAAUUCAUUGGAGAAUGAAUGCUGUUCUGAAUUUGUUUACCUCAACAAAUAGCUUACACCUCCAAUCCUGUCUUGGCGUGCCCUGCUCAGAAGACACAAGACACACCAGGAGUGACGUGAGGAAACAGGCAGUAAAGAUAAGCCUUUGCGACUGGGUUACUCAGACCCUCCCUGACAAGGAGGAGCCCAUCUUGAGUGUCCCAGGAGACCUGGACCUUGUGGACAUCCUGCAGAAUGGCAUAUGGAUCCAUUACAAUGAUGACAUCAUGCUGACUGGGCAAGAUGACAAGAGGUUGCUAUACACCAGAGGGCUUGGGAAGACACAUGCCCUGCAGAAGAAAAACCUGCUCCUGAUUACAAGGAUAUGUCGAUUGCAGGGAGGCAGAGGAAGAAAUACAACAGGAUGUCUAUCGAACACAACUUUGGAGUAAGACCUUGGGACCCAACUCCUGUUUGCUUCAUAUACAAGCUUUGAGACGUGAUGAGUUUGCCUCGAUUCUCUAAGCCUCAGUUUCCUCAUCUGUUGUUGUGAGGGAAAUAAUGCAUGGAAAGCUUUUAACACAAUGGCUGGCACACAGUGAAAGUGCAAGACGUUAACCAUUAUCAUGAGAGUUUUCAAUUGGAAUGAAUAGGAGACUUAAAUUUGCAUGAUUGUACUUUUACACUAAGCCAUUAAUGAUGCAUUCAUUUAGUUUUCUACUCCCAAAGAACAUAGAUUUGAUUAAUUAUAACAAGAAUUUAAAAAUAUUUCCAUUAUUCAGAAAUAACCUACAGAGUCUAAGCCUGUCCUUUCCUUCCUCCCUUUUUCCCAAUCUUUUUUUUUUUUUUUUUUUUUUGAAAGAAAUAGCAAUUAUGUAGUCAGAUUCACUGGCUCUUUCUUCUUCUCCCUGGUAACAGGCUAAGUCUUAACCUUGAUUAGGCAGCAUCGCAUCUGAUCUAAGUUCUUCCCAGCUUUCAGCCCAGCCUGCUUCCCCAGGCUUCAGAGCGCAGCUCUGCACCACCCUCUCCACCCCUGCUUAGCAUCAGAACAUUGCCAAAGCUAAGCAUCUAUGCAAUGUUUCUUUUGAAUAGUUGUCUACCUACUUGGAUAUUUUUUUCCUUCUCCCAGAGGCAAAAAUUGGACCACUUAAUCUAUGCUGUAGGACAGUCUUGCCCCUCAGAAAAUACUUGAGCAUAUUAAGUUGUUAUGAAAUGGAUCUGAGAAGCAGAGUUCUGAACCAUGCCCGUGAAUUUCCCAGCCUCAUCACACUGGCAUUCUUUCAUAGCCCCGAAAUACUUUCCACUUGCCCUUCCUAUGAAUGCAAGUAAAGCAAAGCCUCUUGACAAAGCAAAUUAAGAGUAAUCAAUGGUUUGGGUUUUUUUUUUAAUUAUUAUUUCCUGUGACUCAAAUCAAACCUAUUUCUCAACUGUAACGUACGAAAAGAGAGAGAUCAAGUUGACAUUUAGGAAAAUUGAACAUUGAUAAGUAAAUUGCCUUCACUCAGUCUCUUAGGUCCUCUCUCCUUUCCCCCUACCCCACGACACCCCGUGGCCCUGCUCUCUCUCACACACACAGCUGAAGGUAUCUUUAAAGGGUACCUAUUUCCUGCAGAUCACGCUUAUGUUAAUCUCACUUCAAGUACAGAUGCACCGAGGACAUUACAGGGUCAGUCAUUCUUAUCCACAAAGCUUUAGAUUCCACUACAUUAUUCAAACUGGACAAUGGACUUCCCCAUUUUGUGCCCAGACUUGCUCACUAAUAGAGUGACCUCCUUGUUAUGGGUGAGGAUAUAUUUGAUGCUAAAACUGCUACAAAUUUUUAUCAGCAUUUAAUCUUGAGACUGUGAAUUACUACAUCCUGCAUGUGUUGGUACCUUACUUUGAUUAAAAAUGGGAUAAAUCAA